rnacentral:rRNA from 1 species
AGAGUUUGAUCCUGGCUCAGAACGAACGCUGGCGGCGUGCUUAACACAUGCAAGUCGAACGUGAUCAGGCCUUCGGGCCUGUGAAAGUGGCGCACGGGUGAGUAACACGUGGAUAAUCUACCCGAUUGAUCCGGGAUAACAUCUCGAAAGGGGUGCUAAUACCGGAUAAGCCCACGAGCUCUUCGGAGCUUGCGGGAAAAGGGGGGGACCUUAACCGGCCUCCUGUCAUCGGAUGAGUCCGCGGCCCAUUAGCUAGUUGGUAGGGUAACGGCCUACCAAGGCUACGAUGGGUAGCUGGUCUGAGAGGAUGAUCAGCCACACUGGAACUGAGACACGGUCCAGACUCCUACGGGAGGCAGCAGUGGGGAAUUUUGCGCAAUGGGGGAAACCCUGACGCAGCAACGCCGCGUGAGUGAUGAAGGCCCUUGGGUCGUAAAGCUCUGACAGAGGGAAAGAAAUGUGGGUGGCUAAUAUCCAUACCACUUGACGGUACCCUCAAAGGAAGCACCGGCUAACUCCGUGCCAGCAGCCGCGGUAAUACGGAGGGUGCGAGCGUUGUUCGGAUUUAUUGGGCGUAAAGCGCGUGUAGGCGGUUUUAUAAGUCUGAUGUGAAAGCCCCGGGCUCAACCUGGGAAGUGCAUUGGAUACUGUAAGACUUGAAUACGGGAGAGGGCAGUGGAAUUCCUAGUGUAGGAGUGAAAUCCGUAGAUAUUAGGAGGAACACCGGUGGCGAAGGCGGCUGCCUGGACCGAUAUUGACGCUGAGACGCGAAAGCGUGGGUAGCAAACAGGAUUAGAUACCCUGGUAGUCC